rnacentral:lncRNA from 1 species
GGGAAGCAUUCAGAAAGAGGGGGAAAUAGAAACAAGGUCACGGGGGAGCCGGAGUGAGGGCAGUAUGUUAGUUUUCCUCCCGCUCUGUAACAAGUGGACAUAAACUUGGUGGCUUAAAAAAAAUACAAACUGCCCAAUAGUUCGGUAGGUCAGAAGUCUGACAUGCAUCGUGCUGGGCUAACAGUGACUAGCAGGGCUGUGUCGAUCGCUGAAAGCCCUAAUAGGGAAACAAACAAUGGCCUCUGCUCAUGCGCUUGUGCUGACAUCGCUGGCGUCCUCUCUUCCUUCAUCACGGGCAGCAAGAGAGGCUUGAAGUCUUUUCAUGAUGCCAUAUCAGUUCCAUUUCAAAAGACCCAUGUGGCUAGACUGGACCCUGGAUAAGCUGGCAUGAUUUUCCCAUCUCAAAUGUUCAGCCUUAAUAAUGUCUGCAAAAAAAAAAAUGCUUCUGCUACAGAAGGAUACCCUGUUCUCCAGGUAGAUUAGACUGGACAUUAUGGAGUGGGUAAUGCUGCCUAACACAAAAAAGAAAAAAAAAAAA